rnacentral:rRNA from 1 species
AGUGAACCAGUACCGUGAGGGAAAGGCGAAAAGAACCCCGGCGAGGGGAGUGAAAAAGAACCUGAAACCGUGUACGUACAAGCAGUGGGAGCACCCUUUGGGGUGUGACUGCGUACCUUUUGUAUAAUGGGUCAGCGACUUAUAUUCUGUAGCAAGGUUAACCGAAUAGGGGAGCCGGAGGGAAACCGAGUCUUAACCGGGCGUUAAGUUGCAGGGUAUAGACCCGAAACCCGGUGAUCUAGCCAUGGGCAGGUUGAAGGUUGGGUAACACUAACUGGAGGACCGAACCGACUAAUGUUGAAAAAUUAGCGGAUGACCUGUGGCUGGGGGUGAAAGGCCAAUCAAACCGGGAGAUAGCUGGUUCUCCCCGAAAGCUAUUUAGGUAGCGCCUCGUGAAUUCAUCUCCGGGGGUAGAGCACUGUUUCGGCUAGGGGGCCAUCCCGGCUUACCAACCCGAUGCAAACUGCGAAUACCGGAGAAUGUUAUCACGGGAGACACACGGCGGGUGCUAACGUCCGUCGUGAAGAGGGAAACAACCCAGACCGCCAGCUAAGGUCCCAAAGUCAUGGUUAAGUGGGAAACGAUGUGGGAAGGCCCAGACAGCCAGGAUGUUGGCUUAGAAGCAGCCAUCAUUUAAAGAAAGCGUAAUAGCUCACUGGUCGAGUCGGCCUGCGCGGAAGAUGUAACGGGGCUAAACCAUGCACCGAAGCUGCGGCAGCGACGCUGAUGCGUUGUUGGGUAGGGGAGCGUUCUGUAAGCCUGUGAAGGUGGCCUGUGAGGGUUGCUGGAGGUAUCAGAAGUGCGAAUGCUGACAUAAGUAACGAUAAAGCGGGUGAAAAGCCCGCUCGCCGGAAGACCAAGGGUUCCUGUCCAACGUUAAUCGGGGCAGGGUGAGUCGACCCCUAAGGCGAGGCCGAAAGGCGUAGUCGAUGGGAAACGGGUUAAUAUUCCCGUACUUGGUGUUACUGCGAAGGGGGGACGGAGAAGGCUAUGUUGGCCGGGCGACGGUUGUCCCGGUUUAAGCGUGUAGGUGUGUGUUCCAGGUAAAUCCGGUUCACUUUAACACUGAGGCGUGAUGACGAGGCACUACGGUGCUGAAGCAACAAAUGCCCUGCUUCCAGGAAAAGCCUCUAAGCAUCAGGUAACAUCAAAUCGUACCCCAAACCGACACAGGUGGUCAGGUAGAGAAUACCAAGGCGCUUGAGAGAACUCGGGUGAAGGAACUAGGCAAAAUGGUGCCGUAACUUCGGGAGAAGGCACGCUGACACGUAGGUGAAGUGAUUUACUCAUGGAGCUGAAGUCAGUCGAAGAUACCAGCUGGCUGCAACUGUUUAUUAAAAACACAGCACUGUGCAAACACGAAAGUGGACGUAUACGGUGUGACGCCUGCCCGGUGCCGGAAGGUUAAUUGAUGGGGUCAGCGCAAGCGAAGCUCCUGAUCGAAGCCCCGGUAAACGGCGGCCGUAACUAUAACGGUCCUAAGGUAGCGAAAUUCCUUGUCGGGUAAGUUCCGACCUGCACGAAUGGCGUAAUGAUGGCCAGGCUGUCUCCACCCGAGACUCAGUGAAAUUGAACUCGCUGUGAAGAUGCAGUGUACCCGCGGCAAGACGGAAAGACCCCGUGAACCUUUACUAUAGCUUGACACUGAACAUUGAGCCUUGAUGUGUAGGAUAGGUGGGAGGCUUUGAAGUGUGGACGCCAGUCUGCAUGGAGCCGGCCUUGAAAUACCACCCUUUAAUGUUUGAUGUUCUAACGUGGACCCGUGAUCCGGGUUGCGGACAGUGUCUGGUGGGUAGUUUGACUGGGGCGGUCUCCUCCUAAAGAGUAACGGAGGAGCACGAAGGUUGGCUAAUCCUGGUCGGACAUCAGGAGGUUAGUGCAAUGGCAUAAGCCAGCUUGACUGCGAGCGUGACGGCGCGAGCAGGUGCGAAAGCAGGUCAUAGUGAUCCGGUGGUUCUGAAUGGAAGGGCCAUCGCUCAACGGAUAAAAGGUACUCCGGGGAUAACAGGCUGAUACCGCCCAAGAGUUCAUAUCGACGGCGGUGUUUGGCACCUCGAUGUCGGCUCAUCACAUCCUGGGGCUGAAGUAGGUCCCAAGGGUAUGGCUGUUCGCCAUUUAAAGUGGUACGCGAGCUGGGUUUAGAACGUCGUGAGACAGUUCGGUCCCUAUCUGCCGUGGGCGCUGGAGAACUGAGGGGGGCUGCUCCUAGUACGAGAGGACCGGAGUGGACGCAUCACUGGUGUUCGGGUUGUCAUGCCAAUGGCACUGCCCGGUAGCUAAAUGCGGAAGAGAUAAGUGCUGAAAGCA